UAGCCUUGACAUUGAUUGAACACACUAGAGAUAGAGUGGUGCCCUUCGGGGAACAUGAAAACAGGUGCUGCACGGCUGUCGUCAGCUCGUGUCGUGAGAUGUUGGGUUAAGUCCCGCAACGAGCGCAACCCUCGUCCUUAGUUGCCAGCAGGUUAAGUUGGGCACUCUGAAAGAACUGCCAGUGAUAAGCUGGAGGAAGGUGGGGAUGACGUCAAGUCCUCAUGGCCCUUAUGUGUUGGGCUACACACGUGCUACAAUGGUAUCUACAACAGGAAGCAAGAUGGCAACAUUAAGCAAAUCCCAAAAAGAUACCUCAGUUCGGAUUGCACUCUGCAACUCGAGUGCAUGAAGCUGGAAUUACUAGUAAUCGUGGAUCAGCGUGCCACGGUGAAUACGUUCCCGGGUCU
rnacentral:rRNA from 1 species